CCAAUAGCGUAUAUUAAAGUUGCUGCAGUUAAAAAGCUCGUAGUUGAAUUUCGGGACCAAUAUGUCGGUCGUGCUUCGGUACGUACUGGCAUCGUUGGUUUCUCCUUUCUGAAGAACCAUGAUGUCAUUUAUUUGGUGUCGUGGGGAAUCAGGACUGUUACUUUGAAAAAAUUAGAGUGUUUAAAGCAGGCUCACGCUUGAAUACAUUAGCAUGGAAUAAUGAAAUAGGACGUUUGAUUCUAUUUUGUUGGUUUCUAGGAUCGACGUAAUGAUUAAUAGGGGUAGUUGGGGGCAUUAGUAUUCAAUUGUCAGAGGUGAAAUUCUUGGAUUUAUUGAAGACUAACUACUGCGAAAGCAUUUGCCAAGGAUGUUUUCAUUAAUCAAGAACGAAAGUUAGGGGAUCGAAGACGAUCAGAUACCGUCGUAGUCUUAACCAUAAACUAUGCCGACUAGGGAUCGGAUGAUGUUAAUUUUUUAAUGACUCAUUCGGCGCCUUACG
rnacentral:rRNA from 1 species